GUUCUCAUAGUUGAAUUACAACGGUGGUUUUUCAAGUCAUUGGUCCUAGUUAAAAUCUUGGUGAGAAUU
rnacentral:tRNA from 2 species